rnacentral:rRNA from 1 species
UAGGGAAUAUUCCGCAAUGGGCGAAAGCCUGACGGAGCAACGCCGCGUGAGUGAAGAAGGUCUUCGGAUCGUAAAGCUCUGUCAACAGGGACGAAACAAGACGGUACCUGAGAAGGAAGCCACGGCAAACUACGUGCCAGCAGCCGCGGUAAUACGUAGGUGGCAAGCGUUGUCCGGAAUAACUGGGCGUAAAGCGCAUGUAGACGGCAUGAUAAGCCAAAUGUGAAAUGUAGGGGCUCAACCCCUACACUGCGAUUGGAACUGUCAAGCUUGAGUGCAGGAGAGGCAAAUGGAAUUCCCAGUGUAGCAGUGAAAUGCGUAGAGAUUGGGAGGAACACCAGUGGCGAAGGCGAUUUGCUGGACUGCAACUGACGUUGAGAUGCGAAAGCCAGGGGAGCAA